AUUGAACGCUGGCGGCAGGCCUAACACAUGCAAGUCGAGCGCGCGUCGGACGGGUGAGUAAUGUAUGGGGACUGCCCGAUAGAGGGGGAUACCUACUGUAGACGGUAGCUAAUACCGCAUACUAUCGGAUAACCCAUAUGGGAUUAGCUAGUAGGUGAGGUAAUGGCUCACCUAGGCGACGAUCCCUAGCUGGUCUGAGAGGAUGAUCAUCCACAAUGGGACUGAGACACGGCCCAGACUCGUACGGAGGCAGCAGUGGGGAAUAUUGCACAAUGGGCGCAAGCAUGAGGCAGCCAUGCCGCGUGUAUGAAGAAGGCCCUAGGGUUGUAAAGUACUUUCAGUCGGGAGGCGUUACCGACAGAAGAAGCACCGGCUAACUCCGUGCCAGCAGCCGCGGUAAUUC
rnacentral:rRNA from 1 species